GUCCAUUGACGUCAAUCGCACCGGAGAGAUAACGAGCAGACACUUUAGCCCGAGGUCGCUACCAGCGCAGCGGAGCGUCGUCUCUCUCACCAAGAAGCUUCUCCGGGCUCAGCGAAGUAAUGAGGUAGAGAAGUCGGACGAGCUCGUCGUACUCAACCUCGCGUGGAACACAUUGGCGCCGCCACCGCGAACAUGGACCAGGAGUUUGAAGACAUCGACUCAGAGGACCGGUGGCAAAAACUCUACUUAGAAAUCAGGAAUCAGUCCCACGAGUGCUCCUUCAAGGUGGCGAAGCAUCCGGAGAACCGCAACCGGAACAGAUACAGGGACGUCAGUCCAUUCGAUCACAGUCGGGUGAAGCUGGAGAACGUGGAGAACGACUACAUCAACGCGAGUCUGGUGGAGAUGGAGGAGGCCCAGAGAAGUUACAUAUUGACUCAGGGCCCCCUCAGAAACACUUGUGGCCACUUUUGGCUCAUGAUCUGGGAGCAGGAAACCAAAGCCAUCAUCAUGCUCAACAGGGUCAUAGAGAAAGGCUCAUCACAGGAAAAGUGUGCCCAGUACUGGCCCACGUCGGAGGAGCGGGAGAUGGCCUUCAGAGACACGCGUUUCUUGGUCACGCUGUCGUCCGAAGACGCCAAGUCUUACUACACCACCAGAGUGUUGGAGCUGCAGAAUAUUAACACGGGGGAGAAGAGAGAGAUCUACCACUUUCAUUACACCACGUGGCCUGAUUUCGGUGUCCCAGAAUCCCCAGCGUCGUUCCUCAACUUCCUUUUCAAGGUGCGGGAAUCGAGAGCGUUGGGUGCCGACCACGGGCCGGCUGUGGUGCACUGCAGCGCCGGAAUCGGACGCUCUGGGACGUUUUCACUAGUCGACACGUGUCUGGUCCUGAUGGACAAGAGGAAAGACCCAUCAUCAGUGGACAUCAAAAGCAUCCUGUUGGACAUGAGGAAGUACCGCAUGGGCCUGAUCCAGACCCCGGACCAGCUCCGCUUCUCCUACAUGGCCGCUCUCGAAGGAGCCAAGUACAUUAUGGGAGACUCGUCUGUACAGAACCGCUGGCGGGAGUUGUCCAGGGAAGAUCAGGAGCCGUCAUCAGAGUCUCGGCCCUCGACUCAGCCGCAGGCCAAGUGUCCGACAGAGCGACACAACGGCAGCCAGCGGGCGGGUCAGCCAGAGGAGGGAGGAGGAGACUACCGGCAGGACGGCAAAGUACCUGCACAGCCUCCCUGCAAGGAGCAGGAGCUGGACGGCAGCACAACACACAAACGACGCAGAGAAGACAGUAUCUCUAAAUCAGGGACAACCAAGACCCCCCAGAGCAAGCCCCGGACGAACGAAUCAGAGAAGAAGAGAAAAAGUUUGGGCUGCAUUUGCUGCACAUGACAAGAGCUGGCCUGUCCAGUGGGGGGCAGCGUAUCUUUACCCCCCUCUGAGGCAGCAACGACAACCGUGAGGAGCACAUUUAGAGGAGGAAGUUUACCCACAGCUUUUUAAAAAAGAACGCCCACUCUUGGCGAAAACCAGUGACAGCUAACCGCCUCCACCUGUGGCCACACGACUACAGCUCUGGCAGCAGAGCCAACAUCGGCAGGGAACUCCAGCUCUCCUCUGAAGGAGCUCUGUCCUCCUCUUCCUCCACCCCCAACCACUCUCUCACCUCCACCUCAAUAGCCAGCUCCCCUAUACAUGUUUUUUUUUUUUUUCCUGUCCCAGCCCUGACAGCAUUAUUCCGCCACCGCACACCUCUCGUCUUAACUUGUUAGCAUCAUGUCACUCCCACAUCCUUCUUCGUCUCCAUCUCCUCUUCCUCUCUCAACUGUUUACAGACGACACUUUGACAUUCUUUUGAAGAGCGCACAUUCAAAACGACGAACACACCAGCCCACACGCUCAACCAUCACCUGUUCUGCUCCUGGAGUCAGAAAUCCCUUCUUUCUGUUUGCUUUAAUAUUAUUAUUUACAACUUUGUCUUUCAAUUAAGCUUCUUUGCAUUUAUGAAAUUAGGACAGAAAAUAGCAGUGGCUAUGCAUUGCCAAUUUGUAAUGGUGUUCAUAUGUGUAUUUUCAGAAAACCCUUUUUUGUUUUUUUCAGAGACAAAAAUAAAAAUGUUCUAUUUUUUAUAAGAGAUUACUUGAAGUUUUUCACAGUGGUGGGGGGGUUUGGUAAAUGAAAAGCUCUGCCCCCUUCUCACACAUGAGAAAUUCAGUGGCAUGUAAUGUUUUCAUGAUGUACAUAGUGUUCUUUUUAAAAAGAUGUGUAAAAAAAGACAUAUUUUGUUGCUUGUAAAAAAAAACCAUAAGGCACACAAUAAUGUUACAGAUUUGAAUACAGUAGUAAGAUGAUUUGAUGACCUGCGCUCUUUUUUAAAAAUGAAUUUGUCUUAAGCUUUUCUCUCUUUUAGAGUAAUCUAUAAAUAAAACUGGUAUCAUCUAGUUUACAUAA